UAUGCGUCAGCCGUGAGUUCCUGUUUGUGGCGAGUAUAUUACGGCACAUUUCAUAGAAAGCUAUACCCAUUUCGAGUAGGCCUAAUAGGAGGAAACGGUAACUAAUCUUUUAAGGGGAGCAAAUGAAUAAGCACUCUGUCAUAACUGCAGCGGUUUGCUAUCCUGUGGUGGAUUUGGGAAUAUAUUUGCUACAUUUCAUUGGAAAGUAGUAUGUUCGUCCAGCCUUCGUCCAGGUUCUGUCAACGGUGGUUAGUUAGCUAAUAACCAAGACACUACGGUGGACUUCUCUCCUCUGACCGGUUACCAAGACAGCUGGGUGUGUAGGAAACUGGAACUAAGUCACUGAAGAAGUAAACCGAUGAAAACCGAUUUGGAUUGUCUGAGAGAUGUAAGUCAGUGAGUUCAGGAUAAAUGUGUAUCAACUGUAUUGUAGGCUUAUUACUUGAACAAUAAAAUCACAACAACUGCUUAUUUUUCAGCUGUAGGGCACAAGUAAGAGGAGAAGAAUGCUGCUCAGCUGGGUCGGCGUCGGCCACACUACUUAUUCAAGAAGCCCUUGGAUAUCAUCGGCAUGUAUGAAGUAAGUUUUUAAUGUCAUGCACAACAGCAGGCGUGAAUGCGCUCGCACACGCGCGCACACACACACACACACACACACACACACACACACACACACACACACACACACACUAACAAUGAGAGCUGGCCUGAUAUUGUUCUUUGAUGCUGUGAAUGUGUAUGGAAUGCCUACUGUCUGGUGUCACUUCAGACAAUUUUGCUACGGUUUACUGUAUGUUCUGUCUAUCUGUCUGCCAAACUCUCAAACUUGUUGUCUGUCUUUUUGUCUUCCUCUUUGGGCACCGGCAGGCACUGUCAUUCCGGUAGUCCGUUCCUCGAUGGACGUGAUGACCUGGCACCAAAACCGCUUAAUGUGUACGGAGCUGUGUCUGCAUCGAGGGAAGAACGCGGCACUGAAAUGACACAAAUGAAAGAAGAUUACUUCUGCUCUGCUGGGUCUGUGACACUAUUUAUCCGAGGAGUCCUCAAACAUCAGGAUGUAGGAAGUAAGAUCUUUUUAUGUCAUGCAUAACAGCCCAUGCGUGCACGCACACGCACGCACACACACACACCACACA